UUAAAAAGGACAAAUCAUAAACCCUCACAUCAUACAACCAAAAAAGACACUGCCGUUGGAAAGAGUUAAGAGGAAGAUUUCGUUGAACAGCGACACAUAAGAUACCAUUUACCUAAUUCAAAACUACAAGCUUUCAUUUUGGAAUCAAUAGCAACGGUUAACAAUGAUGAUGAGUUUACCACGCGUGGCUAUUAUUGCUUUAAUUUGUACCUUGAUGUGCAGUUACGGAAGCAGCAUGACUCUGGAGGAGAUCAGAAGAUCAAUUCCGAAAGGGGCGACUCUUUAUUCAUAUGCUGGAACCUGUGAAGCCUGUGGUGAAUUCUAUGGUAGUAGCUAUACUUAUCGUUGUCUCACAGACAAAACCUUCGAAACUUACCAUAAAUGUAACAUUGCUGUCAAUGAGAAACGCAAAUAAAAUAUUUGAAAGAAAGCAGAGAUUGGAAAAAGGAAGAGAGUUCGUACAAGAUGUAGAAAAGAAAGGGAUGAUAACUGAAAUAGGAGACAGUGAUGCUCUUUUUUGUGUGAUGGGAUGAUGAACACCAGCGUUGAAAGUGUUUUGAAAAGUGAUGCUGAAAGUUAUGCUUUGACAUAUUAAGAAAAGGACGUUUAUAAACAAUUAGAAAAUUAAGAUAUUAACAAUAAAAGUUUUGAAAAAAUAUCUAAAAAAAACAUGUGCAUACAUACAAAAACACACAGUACAACGUCCAUACAACAUGCAUACAUCUGUUUGCUACUUAUGUUGAUAGUUUAUUAGGUGGAUUAAUGACUUGUGUACAUUAAAAUCCCACAGCCUAACACAUUUCAGCAUCACCUAUCACUAAAGGCUUCUGUAUCCACAUUAUUAUUAUUAUUGUUGUUAUUGUUAUUAUUAAUUCUAUUAUCGGAAUGAAGUGGGUGCAAAAAUUGAAACAAUUCUUUAAACAAGUGACUAGGAAAAUACUGGAGAGGAAAUUUUUUUUUUUUUUUUUAAUUUGUGCAGAUAUAUGCAGGUGAAUGGAGAGUAAGAAACAAACACAAAUACACACACACCCAUGUACGCACGCACGCACGCACGCACACACACACAUGUAUGUAUUUGAAAACAUGUAUUUCAAAAUCAACGAUAAAAAAAAGUAAAUAAAGUGUAUUUAAUCAG